rnacentral:rRNA from 1 species
CCUACGGGAGGCAGCAGUGGGGAAUAUUGCACAAUGGGGGAAACCCUGAUGCAGCGACGCCGCGUGAGUGAAGAAGUAUUUCGGUAUGUAAAGCUCUAUCAGCAGGGAAGAAAAUGACGGUACCUGAUUAAGAAGCCCCGGCUAACUACGUGCCAGCAGCCGCGGUAAUACGUAGGGGGCGAGCGUUAACCGGAUUUACUGGGUGUAAAGGGAGCGUAGAUGGCAGGACAAGUCUAGAGUGAAAUGCCGGGGCUUAACCCCGGAACUGCCUUGGAAACUGUGCAGCUAGAGUGCGGGAGAGGAAAGUGGAAUUCCUGGUGUAGCGGUGAAAUGCGUAGAUAUUAGGAGGAACAUCAGUGGCGAAGGCGGCUUACUGGACUGUAACUGACGUUGAGGCUCGAAAGCGUGGGGAGCAAACAGGAUUAGAUACCCCUGUAGUC